rnacentral:rRNA from 1 species
AUUGAACGCUGGCGGCAGGCCUAACACAUGCAAGUCGAGCGGAUGAAGGGAGCUUGCUCCUGGAUUCAGCGUCGGACGGGUGAGUAAUGCCUAGGAAUCUGCCUGGUAGUGGGGGAUAACGUCCGGAAACGGGCGCUAAUACCGCAUACGUCCUGCGGGAGAAAGUGGGGGAUCUUCGGACCUCACGCUAUCAGAUUAGCCUAGGUCGGAUUAGCUAGUUGGUGGGGUAAAGGCCUACCAAGGCGACGAUCCGUAACUGGUCUGAGAGGAUGAUCAGUCACACUGGAACUGAGACACGGUCCAGACUCCUACGGGAGGCAGCAGUGGGGAAUAUUGGACAAUGGGCGAAAGCCUGCUCCAGCCAUGCCGCGUGUGUGAAGAAGGUCUUCGGAUUGUAAAGCACUUUAAGUUGGGAGGAAGGGCAGUAAGUUAAUACCUUGCUGUUUUGACGUUACCAACAGAAUAAGCACCGGCUAACUUCGUG